UUUGAAUGCAGCGGGUCACUUCAGUAAUGAAGAACUUUUUUCGUGAGGUGUACAUGGACAGUGUCUACCCUCUGCUAAACUCAGCCCAGCUUCCACCGUUCAUAUGGGGAGAUACUAACAGGGAAACGGAACGCUUACGAAUCAUCCUCGACUACGAAGCCCGAUCUACAUUGGAAAACCUAUUUUCAACAGAAAGACUUCACAAGCCAUUUAAUAUCGAUAGAGUAACAUUUAAUGUCGUAUCAAAGCAUUCAAUAACUUGAUAACAAACUCGUAGGAAGAUCUAGGAGAAUGGAGUCGAGAAUAGAGACCGUUGGUUUGAUCAACAGCCAUGCAUACGGAAUGUUCGAACACUGUAAAAAUAUUUUCUUUGUAUAUAUAUUUAUUUCAUUCUCUUACGAUUUCUAUAUUUAUUAAACAGCCAUUUCGUCACAACGGUAGAUACAUAGAUUUCAUAGAAUAACUCUGAUUUACUUUGCACAUAUAUCAGCAUGGAAUUAGGAUUUUAUACUCCGAUAUGUAGCGCAUUUUAGUGCCUUAUUUAAUUCUGUACUGAUUAUACCUCUUCAAAGUAUUAAUGCAAUGCUUUUUGGGGGGCUAUUUCUGGUAUGUUCAAUAAAAACUGUGGCCGGCUUGGAUAAAUAGCUUGAAUUUAUCCUAUCGGCACAACUUGACUACA